rnacentral:lncRNA from 1 species
AGAACGGCUAACGGAACUAGAACCUAGAACUGGGGAGACAACAAAGUGUUGUACAGGGAUGAGGGCCUAGCAUCUAUGCCCAGGACCCAUGGAAAAUGCAGCAGAGGUGAUAAACAAGGCCUGAUUCAAAGCCUGAACAUAAUCGUCACCCUAUCUAUGAGGCAAUCGGCUCAGCGGGAUUACUGAGGGUUGAGUAAGAUGUCAAGUGCAGAGGAAAGAGCAGCAGACCCCAGCUCAGUGCCCCUGAGCCUCAGCACGGAAGUUCUUCAGGAAGUGACUGACAGGGGAAAAAAAAGUCACAUCAGAAUGAAUGUAUUGGUUUUGUGUUUACCCACCUCCCUGGCUGACUCCACUUCCUUGGCCUGUCCUCCGGGCUACCAAUUAAAGUCUAAUUCCCUUUUAC